rnacentral:rRNA from 1 species
AACGAACGCUGGCGGCAUGCCUAACACAUGCAAGUCGAACGCGUGGCUACGGCCACGAGUGGCGCACGGGUGAGUAACGCGUGGGAACCUGCCCGGCAGUACGGGACGACCGCGGGAAACUGCGGCUAAUACCGUAUGAGCCCUGAGGGGGAAAGAUUUAUCGCUGUCGGAGGGGCCCGCGUCGGAUUCGGUAGUUGGUGGGGUAACGGCCUACCAAGCCUGAGAUCCGUAGCUGGUCUGAGAGGAUGAUCAGCCACACUGGGACUGAGACACGGCCCAGACUCCUACGGGAGGCAGCAGUGGGGAAUAUUGGACAAUGGGGGAAACCCUGAUCCAGCAAUGCCGCGUGAGUGAUGAAGGCCUUAGGGUUGUAAAGCUCUUUCGCACGCGACGAUGAUGACGGUAGCGUGAGAAGAAGCCCCGGCUAACUCCGUGCCAGCCGCCGCCGUAACAC